CUACUGUUUGUUGCCAACCGCCAGUAAAACCAAGAAGAAAAAGAAGAAGAAGAAGAAGAAGGAACAAAGGCGCUGCUUUGUUUAAUGUUCGAGUGUUUCUCUAAGCGAGUUUAUCAACGAGCGGUUAAUUGCUGCUGAAGAAACAUUAACGGAGUUUUAUAAAAAAUCAUCGUCAAGUCGGAGGAAGAGAUGGAUGAUCAGCGCAGACUGCUGGAUUUCUCCCGGACUCCCCGGAUUAUUUUACACCGGAUAGAUUGCCUGCAACAUAACAUUUAUAAGGAGGAGCUAUGUAAGCAGGAGGAGUUAGAACCUCUGCAGGUGAAACAAGAACAGGAAGAACCAGAAGAUCAUCAGAUAAAAGAAGAGCAGGAGGAUCUAAAACACCAGCAGAUAAAAGUGGAAGAGGAAGAAGUUUACUGCAGUCAGGGUGAAGAACAUAUUGAGUUAAAACAGGAGACUGAUACCUUCAUGUUGGUUCCUGUUUAUGAACAAACAUACCAAACUGAAUCAGAACCAAACAGGAACCAAGUCAUCUUCCAGGAAGCUGCUGAAGCUGAGAACCAAAAUCAGGAAAGAAGAAAACCUUUCUCAUGUGUCACUUGUGGAAAUUUUUUUAAACAAAAACAAGGUUUAACUCGUCACAUGACGAUUCACACGGGUGAAAAGCCGUUUUCAUGUGUGACCUGUGGACGAAGUUUUAGUC